ACUCAAAUGAAUAGACGGGGGCUCACACAAGCGGUGGAGCAUGUUGCUUAAUUCGAAGCAACGCGAAGAACCUUACCUGGGUUUGACAUGCUUGGAUCAACCCGAUGAAAGUCGGGCCACAGUCGCAAGACCGGAACAAGCACAGGUGCUGCAUGGCUGUCGUCAGCUCGUGCUGUGAAGUGUCGGGUUAAGUCCCUUAACGAGCGCAACCCUUGUCGCUAGUUGCUAACAGGUAAUGCUGAGGACUCUAGCGAGACUGCCGGUGUCAAACCGGAGGAAGGCGGGGAUGACGUCAAGUCCUCAUGGCCCUUACAUCCAGGGUUGCAAACGUGCUACAAUGGCGUGAACAGAGCGACGCAAGACCGCGAGGUGGAGCAAAUCGCAAAAAACACGCCCCAGUUCGGAUUGCAGGCUGCAAUUCGCCUGCAUGAAGCCGGAAUCGCUAGUAAUCGGGGAUCAGCUACGCCCCGGUGAAUAAGUUCCUGAGCCUUGUACACACCGCCCGU
rnacentral:rRNA from 1 species